rnacentral:lncRNA from 1 species
AGACAUCGCUUCCUGUAACUUCCCAAUCACUUCUUAAUAGUGCCCGUGCCCAUAAAGCUCUGUGGUUUCUUGCAAUCACAUGGAGAAAUGAUCUCUCUGGCUGACGCUGAUGUGCUGCUACCUCGAGGUAAGGAGGCAGCAGCUGUGUUUCAGCACACAACCAUUGCACAACCAUUCAGGAUGGGAAGAGCUGAUGUAUGCUGGAUCCAAUUGAAAGAGGAAAUUUGGGUCAGCAGAUUAUUGUUGUCAGUGCUGGGACAUGGCCAGGUUGCUAUGGGGACACUUGUGCCUUUCAGGUUUUGAUCCUGCAAGGAGUCUGGAUGCUCUUUCACCCCAUUUCCCUGAAAAAUGGUGUUUCUGUGAUCCUCUCUUCCAGCCGCCAGCCCUGCUCCCCGCUCCAAUCGCAUCUCAGCCCAGUGGCAACCUCCAACCACAUCUAAGAGAAGGGUGGAGUGCUCCAAGACAUGAAGCACCUACAACAAGCCUGUGCAAUGCCUGGCCUGAGCGCCACGGGCAUCUCCAGUAUUCGUUUGGUGCCAACAUUGCCAGGCAGCACGUUGUGGCAGCAGGAAAAGGGGGGAACUCACCUGUGUAGACCUGGAUGAGCUGGUGCCCGCUGCCAUCAGCAGCAGUGUGAAGGGACGAUGCCAGCGUGGAGGUGAUGGGGCUCUUGCUGGAGCAGGGAUCAACCUACAGAUUGGUGCUUUGCCCAGAGAACCUGCGCUUUGCAAACAACAUCCAAAUUCUCAUCUUUAAAAUCAGGUCUAGAGCCCAACCCUGCCCACAUGAGGGGUUGGAGGAUGAAAGCUUCAAGGCCUGGAAGCAUGGUUUUGAUUACCAGGCUUUGGGAAUCUGGGUGGGUGGGUCUGGUGGAGCCAGGGAUGAAAUCCAGGGGGCAGACCCACAGCCAGCCCAGGGAGCCAGUGGGUUUGAGCUGAGAGCCAGGACAGUGGGAAACACACCUGCGCAACCAGCUUAAGCUUCUGCCUCCCCCUGUACCUGGGGCAGGAGGAGACAGAGUCAAGCUGGGGCUGCCAUAGCAGUAAGGGCUCUGGGGAGAUUGGGAAUUGCACAGGGAAAAGGGAAAUUCAUCCCCAGAACUAACCUGUGCCAAAAAUAAUCAGUGACUAAUUUUAUGUCUUUAUGAUUGCCUUUUAACUGCAAGUUAUUAAAGACAGGGAGAAAGAA